UGGGGAAUAUUGGACAAUGGGCGCAAGCCUGAUCCAGCAAUGCCGCGUGAGUGAUGAAGGCCUUAGGGUUGUAAAGCUCUUUCGCCCGCGACGAUGAUGACGGUAGCGGGAGAAGAAGCCCCGGCUAACUCCGUGCCAGCAGCCGCGGUAAUACGGAGGGGGCUAGCGUUGUUCGGAAUUACUGGGCGUAAAGGGCGCGCAGGCGGCUGCUCAAGUCAGGCGUGAAAGGCCUGGGCUCAACCCGGGAAUUGCGCUUGAGACUGGGCUGGCUUGAGUGCGGGAGAGGAUGGUGGAAUUCCCAGUGUAGAGGUGAAAUUCGUAGAUAUUGGGAAGAACACCGGUGGCGAAGGCGGCCAUCUGGACCGCAACUGACGCUGAGGCGCGAAAGCGUGGGGAGCAAACAGGAUUAGAUACCCUGGUAGUCCACGCCGUAAACGAUGAGUGCUAGACGUUGGGAAGCCUAGCUUUCCGGUGUCGCAGCUAACGCAUUAAGCACUCCGCCUGGGGAGUACGGCCGCAAGGUUAA
rnacentral:rRNA from 1 species